GAUGAACGCUAGCGGCAGGCUUAAUACAUGCAAGUCGAGGGGCAGCAGGGUGUAGCAAUACAUCGCUGGCGACCGGCAAACGGGUGCGGAACACGUACGCAACUUACCCAAAACUGGGGAAUAGCCCGGGGAAACCCGGAUUAAUACCACGUAACCUAAUUGAGUGGCAUCACUCGAUUAGUAUAGCUCCGGCGGUUUUGGAUGGGCGUGCGCCUGAUUAGGUAGUUGGUUGAGGUAACGGCUCACCAAGCCUACGAUCAGUAACUGGUGUGAGAGCACGACCAGUCACACGAGCACUGAGACACGGGCCCGACUCCUACGGGAGGCAGCAGUAAGGAAUAUUGGUCAAUGGACGCAAGUCUGAACCAGCCAUGCCGCGUGAAGGAUGAAGGUCCUCUGGAUUGUAAACUUCUUUUAUAGGGGAAGAAACCUCUUGAUUCUUCGAGAGUUGACGGUACCCUAGGAAUAAGCACCGGCUAACUCCGUGCCAGCCGCCGCAGUAA
rnacentral:rRNA from 1 species